rnacentral:lncRNA from 1 species
GACUGGAAAUUAAUCGUCCCUGGACUGGCUUCGUCGAGCCCUUGCUGGCCAUCGCGAAUCCACAAGGAUGGCACUACCAACAAGCACCAAAACAUCUCUGGACGAAGGUCCCGGGCGAUUUCGAGUGUGGUGCCGUCAAGCGCUGUACGAGUAUGUCGAAACCACGAAACGCUACUGAAUGUUGAGUGGUAUCCGCUUUUCCUGCCAGUGAAUUGGAAUGGCUCUUGAAAUCCCUCGAAGCAGGACCGCUCGGUUGUUUGUCCAGACCGACUACAAACGAAGCACCGCGUCUAUCCCCCAUGUUUGAUUUAUGUCAUUUCAUGCGCCAUUUGUAAGAUGUUCCGUGUAGGUGUAGCAUAGCACUCCGUUUGUGUAGUUCAUUGCUCAGUUGUCUUUCGCUGACGCUUGUCCUAUUGUAUCAGAAAUUGGCUGCAUAUUUGUAUCCGAACGCAAAUUCCGCCCACCAUCCGUAACAUCUCAC